rnacentral:rRNA from 1 species
GAUGAACGCUGGCGGCGUGCCUAAUACAUGCAAGUCGAGCGAACGGACGAGAAGCUUGCUUCUCUGAUGUUAGCGGCGGACGGGUGAGUAACACGUGGAUAACCUACCUAUAAGACUGGGAUAACUUCGGGAAACCGGAGCUAAUACCGGAUAAUAUUUUGAACCGCAUGGUUCAAAAGUGAAAGACGGUCUUGCUGUCACUUAUAGAUGGAUCCGCGCUGCAUUAGCUAGUUGGUAAGGUAACGGCUUACCAAGGCAACGAUGCAUAGCCGACCUGAGAGGGUGAUCGGCCACACUGGAACUGAGACACGGUCCAGACUCCUACGGGAGGCAGCAGUAGGGAAUCUUCCGCAAUGGGCGAAAGCCUGACGGAGCAACGCCGCGUGAGUGAUGAAGGUCUUCGGAUCGUAAAACUCUGUUAUUAGGGAAGAACAUAUGUGUAAGUAACUGUGCACAUCUUGACGGUACCUAAUCAGAAAGCCACGGCUAACUAUGUGCCAGCAGCCGCGGUAAUACGUAGGUGGCAAGCGUUAUCCGGAAUUAUUGGGCGUAAAGCGCGCGUAGGCGGUUUUUUAAGUCUGAUGUGAAAGCCCACGGCUCAACCGUGGAGGGUCAUUGGAAACUGGAAAACUUGAGUGCAGAAGAGGAAAGUGGAAUUCCAUGUGUAGCGGUGAAAUGCUCAGAGAUAUGGAGGAACACCAGUGGCGAAGGCGACUUUCUGGUCUGUAACUGACGCUGAUGUGCGAAAGCGUGGGGAUCAAACAGGAUUAGAUACCCUGGUAGUCCACGCCGUAAACGAUGAGUGCUAAGUGUUAGGGGGUUUCCGCCCCUUAGUGCUGCAGCUAACGCAUUAAGCACUCCGCCUGGGGAGUACGACCGCAAGGUUGAAACUCAAAGGAAUUGACGGGGACCCGCACAAGCGGUGGAGCAUGUGGUUUAAUUCGAAGCAACGCGAAGAACCUUACCAAAUCUUGACAUCCUUUGACAACUCUAGAGAUAGAGCCUUCCCCUUCGGGGGACAAAGUGACAGGUGGUGCAUGGUUGUCGUCAGCUCGUGUCGUGAGAUGUUGGGUUAAGUCCCGCAACGAGCGCAACCCUUAAGCUUAGUUGCCAUCAUUAAGUUGGGCACUCUAAGUUGACUGCCGGUGACAAACCGGAGGAAGGUGGGGAUGACGUCAAAUCAUCAUGCCCCUUAUGAUUUGGGCUACACACGUGCUACAAUGGACAAUACAAAGGGCAGCGAAACCGCGAGGUCAAGCAAAUCCCAUAAAGUUGUUCUCAGUUCGGAUUGUAGUCUGCAACUCGACUACAUGAAGCUGGAAUCGCUAGUAAUCGUAGAUCAGCAUGCUACGGUGAAUACGUUCCCGGGUCU